UGCGCUAUCAGAUGAGCCUAGGUCGGAUUAGCUAGUUGGUGAGGUAAUGGCUCACCAAGGCGACGAUCCGUAACUGGUCUGAGAGGAUGAUCAGUCACACUGGAACUGAGACACGGUCCAGACUCCUACGGGAGGCAGCAGUGGGGAAUAUUGGACAAUGGGCGAAAGCCUGAUCCAGACAGGCCGCGUGUGUGAAGAAGGUCUUCGGAUUGUAAAGCAAUUGAGUGGGAGGAAGGGCAGUUACCUAAUACGUGA
rnacentral:rRNA from 1 species